rnacentral:rRNA from 1 species
UACGUAGGGUGCAAGCGUUGUCCGGAAUUAUUGGGCGUAAAGAGCUCGUAGGCGGUUUGUCGCGUCGAAUGUGAAAACCCGGGGCUCAACCCCGGGCCUGCAUUCGAUACGGGCAGACUAGAGUUCGGUAGGGGAGACUGGAAUUCCUGGUGUAGCGGUGAAAUGCGCAGAUAAUCAGGAGGAACACCGAUGGCGAAGGCAGCUCGCUGGGACGGUACUGACGCUGAGGCGCGAAAGCGUGGGGAGCAAACAGG